UUGGGAAUAUUGCACAAUGGAGGGAACUCUGAUGCAGCGACGCCGCGUGAACGAAGAAGGCUUUCGAGUCGUAAAGUUCUUUUAUAUGGGAAGAUAAUGACGGUACCAUAAGAAAAAGCCCCGGCUAACUACGUGCCAGCAGCCGCGGUAAUACGUAGGGGGCUAGCGUUGUCCGGAAUCACUGGGCGUAAAGGGUUAGCAGGCGGAAAUGCAAGUCAGGUGUAAAAGGCAGUAGCUUAACUACUGUAAGCAUUUGAAACUGCAUAUCUUGAGAAGAGUAGAGGUAAGUGGAAUUUUUAGUGUAGCGGUGAAAUGCGUAGAUAUUAAAAAGAAUACCGGUGGCGAAGGCGACUUACUGGGCUCAUUCUGACGCUGAGGAACGAAAGCGUGGGUAGCAAACAGG
rnacentral:rRNA from 1 species